rnacentral:rRNA from 1 species
UACAGAGGGUGCGAGCGUUGUUCGGAAUUACUGGGCGUAAAGCGUGCGCAGGCGGUUCUAUAAGACAGAUGUGAAAUCCCCGGGCUCAACCUGGGAACUGCAUUUGUGACUGUAGAGCUGGAGUGCGGCAGAGGGGGAUGGAAUUCCGCGUGUAGCAGUGAAAUUCGUAGAUAUUCGGAAGAACACCAGUGGCGAAGGCGACUCACUGGACACGUAUUGACGCUGAGGUGCGAAAGCGUGGGGAGCAAACAGGG